UACUGUGGCAGAAAUGUAGGAAAAGUUUAGGAAUGUUUUGCAUGUGCCCAUUUCUUACACUGUUGUGCCAAACUAUUUGGCACUUUUCUAUACCUUGCUUUUGACUGCUUUGUAGAGAACCAAUUUUCCCAACAAAUGUGUCAUUAGCUCAGUGUACCCAGGCAAGAGUACCAUUAGCCAAGUGUGCCAUAGUGAUACGGAUAUAAAGUUACCCAAAGAUAUGUUCAGGUGAAACCAAUUUGUUAUAUGUUCGAGCCGCUUGGUGAACCAAUCAAAUCAGAAACACCAGACAAUUUGUGAUUCAAAGAUUACUUCCUCUUUUAUUGGUUUGCUUUCAGACCAUAUAGUACUUUGUAAAACAGCUUUGUGACUUGCGCAACAAAAACAGGAUGCUUGAAGUCACUUUGUACCAUAAAAGGAAUUUAC